rnacentral:rRNA from 1 species
UACGUAGGUGGCAAGCGUUAUCCGGAAUUAUUGGGCGUAAAGCGCGCGCAGGCGGUUUCUUAAGUCUGAUGUGAAAGCCCACGGCUCAACCGUGGAGGGUCAUUGGAAACUGGGAAACUUGAGUGCAGAAGAGAAAAGCGGAAUUCCACGUGUAGCGGUGAAAUGCGUAGAGAUGUGGAGGAACACCAGUGGCGAAGGCGGCUUUUUUGGUCUGUAACUGACGCUGAGGCGCGAAAGCGUGGGGAGCAAACAGG